rnacentral:rRNA from 1 species
UAAUUGGAGAGUUUGAUCCUGGCUCAGAUUGAACGCUGGCGGAAUGCCUAACACAUGCAAGUCGAGCGGGGUAGCAAUAUCCAGCGGCGGACGGGUGAGGAAUACAUAGGAAUCUGCCUUUAGGUGGGGGAUAGCUUGGGGAAACUCAAGGUAAUACCGCAUGAUCUCGCAAGAGCAAAGUGGGGGACCGCAAGGCCUCACGCCUUUAGAGGAGCCUAUGUCUGAUUAGCUAGUUGGUGAGGUAAUGGCUCACCAAGGCUACGAUCAGUAACUGGUCUGAGAGGACGAUCAGUCACACCGGAACUGAGACACGGUCCGGACUCCUACGGGAGGCAGCAGUGGGGAAUAUUGGACAAUGGGCGAAAGCCUGAUCCAGCAAUUCCGCGUGUGUGAAGAAGGCCUUCGGGUUGUAAAGCACUUUAGGUUGGGAAGAAAAA